GGGGAAGUGCUGGAAUUGGCAGACAGAACGGACUUAGGAUCCGUCGGGGCAACCCGUGAGGGUUCAACUCCCUCCUUCCCCACCU
rnacentral:tRNA from 1 species